UUGUAUCGCAUUAAACGAGUAAAGUCCCUGCUGAUGUGAGGUUGUGUGUAUAUUGCUAAACUUUUAGCACAACAAAUCUCACAUUUUGUGAAUAAAAAAAAUAAAAAAAAUAAAAAAAAUAAAAAAAAUUAAAAAUCCUUUAAAAAAGUUGUAACACAAAAAAAUCGAAAAAUAGUAGUUUAAAAAUCAUACAUAAAAAAACAUCGUGUGUGUCUGUGUACUAUUUUGAAGGGGAAAACCAAAAUAAAAAAGGAAAUCACAAUGGCGUCACUUUAUGUAGGCGAUUUGCACGCGGAUGUCACUGAAGCAAUUCUUUUUGAAAAAUUUUCGACGGCUGGACCAGUUUUGUCGAUUCGCGUUUGUCGCGAUGUUAUUACUCGUCGUUCCCUUGGAUAUGCAUAUGUUAAUUUCCAACAACCGGCUGAUGG